rnacentral:lncRNA from 1 species
CUCUAAAUCAAACUAAUGGCUAAAACCAUAUGCGAUAAGGUGGUCCCUUUCCCCACAACCUUAGUUAGCAAUCCAGCAUCUUUCAGAUUCCUCGCAAAGCCACUGCCGUUCUUUUUUUUUCCCUUUUCCAAGGCACCGAAUUAUCCCGGGUUCGGCGGAUAACAAAGCCAAUCUCUAAUGCCCGAAAAGAAAAUAAUUAAACAAAUGGAACGCAUCACGAUCUCCUUCCCCAUGGC